ACGUAGGGGGCGAGCGUUGUUCGGAAUUACUGGGCGUAAAGGGCAUGUAGGUGGUUAUGUAAGCCUGGCGUGAAAGUCCACAGCUUAACGGUGGGAUUGCGUUGGGAACUGGCUGACUAGAGUUACGGAGAGGGAAGUGGAAUUCCUGGUUUAUCGGUGUGAUGCGUAGAGAUCGGGAGGAACACCAGUGGCGAAGGCGACUUACUGGACUAUAACUGACGCUUAGGCGCGAAAGUGUGGGUAGCAAACAG
rnacentral:rRNA from 1 species